UGGGGAAUUUUGCGCAAUGGGCGAAAGCCUGACGCAGCGACGCCGCGUGGAGGAUGAAGGUUCUAGGAUUGUAAACUCCUGUUAAGUGGGAAGAAAAACUUGUUCCUAAUACGAACAAGCAAUGACUGUACCAUUAGAGAAAGCACCGGCUAACUUCGUGCCAGCAGCCGCGGUAAUACGAGGGGUGCAAGCGUUAUUCGGAAUAAUUGGGCGUAAAGGGUGUGUAGACGGCAUAUUAAGUCAGUCGUUAAAUCUUCCGGCCUAACUGGAAGCUCGCGAUUGAAACUGGUAAGCUAGAGGGUGGAAGAGAGAAGUGGAAUUCUCGGAGUAGCGGUAAAAUGCGUAGAUCUCGAGAGGAACACCGAUGGCGAAGGCAGCUUCUUGGUCCAUUUCUGACGUUGAAACACGAAAGCGUGGGGAGCAAACAGGAUUAGAUACCCCGGUAGUCC
rnacentral:rRNA from 1 species